UUACCCUACGGGGGGCAGCAGUGGGGGAUAUUGGACAAUGGGGGAAACCCUGAUCCAGCGACGCCGCGUGAGUGAAGAAGUAUUUCGGUAUGUAAAGCUCUGUCAGCAGGGAAGAAAGAAAUGACGGUACCUGACCAAGAAGCCCCGGCUAACUACGUGCCAGCAGCCGCGGUAAUACGUAGGGGGCAAGCGUUAUCCGGAUUUACUGGGUGUAAAGGGAGCGUAGACGGAAUUGCAAGUCUGAUGUGAAAAUCCGGGGCCCAACCCCGGAACUGCAUUGGAAACUGUAUUUCUAGAGUGUCGGA
rnacentral:rRNA from 1 species